CGGAAAAGAGAUGAUGAGAACUGGAUGAAACACACUUUGGGUCAACUCUUGUCAAUGGAACUGAUUUUUAUUUUGGUCUGCAGAUACUGGGAGAAUGAGAAGGUGCAGCUGGACUACAGACCUGUCCAUAUGAACACAUUGGAUGAUGCAGGGGAGUCAUUUCCUCCAAAAGCACAUGUAUAUUGAACAUUUUUCAAUGUAAAAUGGGCAGAUUGGAGGGAUGGACCACAAGGUUCUGAUAAAUUAUUGAGGAUCCAGGAUUGUGACAAUAUGGCCUGUAUUAGUGUGUUGAUCUGAUUUGUAUGAUAAAAUUUUCUUUCAUUUCAGAAAUAGUAAGAAUAAUAACAGGCUUUGUAUU